rnacentral:rRNA from 1 species
GCUCAGAUUGAACGCGGCGGGCAUGCUUUACACAUGCAAGUCGAACGGCAGCACGGGUGCUUGCACCUGGUGGCGAGUGGCGAACGGGUGAGUAAUAUAUCGGAACGUGCCCUAGAGUGGGGGAUAACGUAGCGAAAGUUACGCUAAUACCGCAUACGAUCUACGGAUGAAAGUGGGGGAUCGCAAGACCUCAUGCUCCUGGAGCGGCCGAUAUCUGAUUAGCUAGUUGGUGGGGUAAAAGCCUACCAAGGCGACGAUCAGUAGCUGGUCUGAGAGGACGACCAGCCACACUGGGACUGAGACACGGCCCAGACUCCUACGGGAGGCAGCAGUGGGGAAUUUUGGACAAUGGGGGCAACCCUGAUCCAGCAAUGCCGCGUGAGUGAAGAAGGCCUUCGGGUUGUAAAGCUCUUUUGUCAGGGAAGAAACGGUGGAGGCUAAUAUCCUCUGCUAAUGACGGUACCUGAAGAAUAAGCACCGGCUAACUACGUGCCAGCAGCCGCGGUAAUACGUAGGGUGCGAGCGUUAAUCGGAAUUACUGGGCGUAAAGCGUGCGCAGGCGGUUUGGUAAGACAGAUGUGAAAUCCCCGGGCUUAACCUGGGAAUUGCAUUUGUGACUGCCCGGCUAGAGUGUGUCAGAGGGGGGUAGAAUUCCACGUGUAGCAGUGAAAUGCGUAGAUAUGUGGAGGAAUACCGAUGGCGAAGGCAGCCCCCUGGGAUAACACUGACGCUCAUGCACGAAAGCGUGGGGAGCAAACAGGAUUAGAUACCCUGGUAGUCCACGCCCUAAACGAUGUCUACUAGUUGUCGGGUCUUAAUUGACUUGGUAACGCAGCUAACGCGUGAAGUAGACCGCCUGGGGAGUACGGUCGCAAGAUUAAACUCAAAG